rnacentral:lncRNA from 1 species
ACACACACACACACACGAAGGCCAAAGGAAUACUGUGUUACUAUGAAUGUCGUUCAUCAGCCACCACCCAAAAUGUUUCUUUUUACAGGGUCUUUCACUGUCCUCGAAUUCAUCAUGUAGGGUAGGCUGGCUGGUCAGUGAGUCUCAGAGAUCUACUUGUCUCUCUCUCUGCAAUGUUGGGAUUAAAAGUAUGCAGUGCCUUUCCCUGGCUUUUUAUUUAUGUGUGUGCUGGGGCUCAGGCUCAGGCCCUCAGGUUGGCUACUGAGACCUUUCCAGAUUGAGCUGUCUUCUAGAUUUUUUUUAACUUCCAAAGUGAAACAAACUUUCACAAAUUAUAUCAUGAUGGGGAAGAUUGACUACAGUGGUCCCACUAUGGGCAUAUGCAGUAUUUGAACUUCAUACUCUGAUGCCCAUCUCUCAAAUCUACUUUUCCUACUUUGCUUUCAUGAUCAAGAGACAACUGCUGAAGAAUGUGAUAGAAAUUAGUACUUACACAAUGUUUUUCUUUUGCUUCCUCCUACUCUUUUUUCCCCUUGAAAUAUUUUUAGCAGUUGAAUAGAAUCCAUGGUGUUCUCCUAGGUCAUUUGAGUUCAUAGUAAGUUUCUCUACAAGUUCAGGGGUCUUUCAGAAUGGAAUCUUCCCUAGCUUUUGCUCUAGAAAACUAAAACGAGUUAACCUUUGGAAAAUGGGACAUUUACUUACUCUUUUGAGUAUAUUCUGAAAUAUUCCAUAAGUCUGUUUAUUUCUUUUAAUCUGGCUGCUUCCGAUACAGU